rnacentral:lncRNA from 1 species
GUCCUCCCCCUCACUUGGAACACACCCAUCCCAUGUUCUUGCCACUUCCUGAAGCAGCUCUGGAGUCCUCUUUCCUGGGCGUCUAUAGUUGUGCUAUCCUAGCUGCCUCGAUGUCCUGAAUGGAUUCAAAACGGUUCCCUGUCAUGGUCAUUUUGACUUUGGGGAAGACCUGGAAGUCACAUAGUGCCGGAUCCAGUGAUUAAGGACAGGAAGGAAAUUCUGCUGGCUUCUAGAGGAUACAGGCCAAGGAGGCUGGGUGAAGGGAAGAAAGAGAAAAGAAAAAAAAGAGAAUAGAAGGAAACAAAUGGAAACAAAACUUUUGAGGAGAAAACAUUUCAAAGGAGGACAAAUUCAUUGUGAGUUUAUACGGGGUGAAAUCUCUACUGAGAGCCCAAAGGAAAAUUAUUUGAAAAUGUGUCAGAUCCCGGUCAGAUCAACAGCAAGAAAUGAAGAGAUGAGGAUCACAGGGAAGAAAAUCUGUUUACUGAAGUCAGAGACAAAUCUAAAAUCCACUAAGUGGACUUACUAGCCAUGCCUUUUUCUCCCAUACGAUGGAAAUAUCAUGAUGUCUUGGGAAUAAGUGAGCUUCACAUCAUGGUGAGAAUUCAUACA